UACAGAGGUCUCAAGCGUUGUUCGGAUUCAUUGGGCGUAAAGGGUGCGUAGGCGGCGCGGUAAGUCGGGUGUGAAAUCUCGGAGCUUAACUCCGAAACUGCAUUCGAUACUGCCGUGCUUGAGGACUGGAGAGGAGACUGGAAUUUACGGUGUAGCGGUGAAAUGCGUAGAUAUCGUGAGGAAGACCAGUGGCGAAGGCGGAUCUCUGGACAGUUCCUGACGCUGAGGCGCGAAGGCCAGGGGAGCAAACAGG
rnacentral:rRNA from 1 species